rnacentral:misc_RNA from 1 species
UCCGGUUUGGCACCGGCAGUCUCCGAUGAGUCCCCGGCUUUACCCGCUGGCAACAUCGGACAGGGGUUGCGCUCGUUGCGCCACUUAAGGCAACACCUCACGGCACGAGCUGACGACAGCCCUGCACCACCUGUGCAGGCUCCGAAGAGCACCCGCUUUCACGGGUUUCACCCUGCAUGUCAAGCCCAGGUAAGGUUCUUCGCGUCGCAUCGAAUUAAGCCGCAUGCUCCGCCGCUUGUGCGGGCCCCCGUCAAUUCCUUUGAGUUUUAGCCUUGCGGCCGUACUCCCCAGGCGGGGUGCUUAAUGCGUUAGCUUCGGCACGGACGGAGUCGACACCGCCCACACCUAGCACCCAACGUUUACGGCUGGGACUAC